GGACUACUCGGGUUUCUAAUCCUGUUUGCUACCCACGCUUUCGCAUCUCAGUGUCAGGAACGGCCCAGAAGGCCGCCUUCGCCACAGGUAUUCCUCCUAAUAUCUACGAAUUUCACCUCUACACUAGGAAUUCCACCUUCCUCUACCGUCCUCUAGCUAGGUAGUUUCGGAUGCACUUCCUCGGUUGAGCCCAGGGAUUUCACACCCGACUUACCUAACCACCUACAUGCGCUUUACGCCCAAUGAUUCCGAACAACGCUUGCACCCUACGUAUUACCGCGGCUGCUGGCAC
rnacentral:rRNA from 1 species